CACAAACUAUUUCUGGAAGUGCGAUCUAAAAACUAGUGGCUUAUUUUUCGUGUAAAUACGUUUAGCAAGAAAACAGAUAUGCCUCUUCCAGUUUAGCAAGAUGUCUUCCGUAUCAUCAAUAGCAUUCACAUCGAAUCAAAAUGACUGUUUGAGUCAUCUUUGUAUCACCCUGCAGUAUGGUGCGUUGACAAUGCAG